rnacentral:lncRNA from 1 species
UCAUGCGUUUUCUAUUACAAAAUAAAUUAUUUCAAAAUGAUAAAACUCUUUUCAAUAUUAAUUAAGAUACUGCUCUUUUUUAUUUAAUUUUUUAGUUAAUAUUAAUUACAACACUUUUGAUCAAAUAUUUUUCACCUUUUGUUUAUGACAAAGAUAAAUGUAUUAAUAUAUGAUAAAAAAAUUUAAGAAAAUCUUUUUUUCAUUUAUAUAUUUUUUAAUUUGUGUAUAUCUAACAAUUAAUUAAGUUACUUUCAGCCAUGGAUUUUGAAUAUGUAUAUUAUUAUUGUUUGAGCUUUUCCUUAUCCAUAAAAAAAAAAUAUUAUAUAUAAUUAUUAUUGUAGUAUUAUUCUUUUCAAAAUAGGAGUAAAAUUUAUUAUUUUUUUACGCUAUGAAUAUGAGACUUUUUUUUUCUUUUGGCACUAUAAAUAUGAGACAUAAGUUUCACCAAUUUUGCAAAGAAACAUAGCUUCAAAGAUUGGGACUAUCCUUCUAUUCUUCGUCUGUGGUAAGUUUUGAACUCACAAACUCUCAACAUCAAAUUUUUAUUUCUAUUUGUUUUUUUCUCUUCAUCUUUUAAGUUAUUUUAACAAACUACAUGUAUACUUUAAUUAACUUUUGCGUUUAUGAUCCAAGUGCAAUUCUUUUUUUGGAGACAAUAUGAAAAUUGUUGAUGCUAAAAUUUGUCCUCAAUUUUGUUAUGAGGAUCGUUCAUACAUGACUUGUCCUUCUUCAGGAAAUAAACAUCUCACUCCAAUAUGCAAUUGUUGUCUUGCAUCAAUUGGUUGUAAAAUUUAUAAAGAUAUUGGAACUCCUCUUUGUACUGCUGGUGGAAAUAUGUUGUAAUAUGUGUGACAAAAAAUUAUAAUAAGUUGUACUAUGAAAAAUACAACACCUAACUUAUUUUUCAUAUUUUGAUCAUUACUAUUAAUUUUUCUCUUUUUUUCCCUCUUCAUUUAUUUCUCCCUCUCUCUCAUUCUUCUUUGUAUUAUGAAUAAAAAAUACCAACUUUAGAAAACAA